UAGGUAUCUUAAAAAAGGGAAAAAAGAAGACCUAUUUUCAUGGGCAAAUGGAUUUCAAUCCCAAUCACAACAUGGUCCUAGACGUUCCGUGAAGUGUGAGGCAGUGGCUGCCCGCGUUGUGUAACGUGCUGUUCGUAUGUAUCGCAAUAACAAAUUCUUGUACACUUUAAAAUUCAGUUUUUCACCAUUCCAUUAAAAUUUCAAUGCAAUUCUUCCAUUUAAAUUUCUAUCUUUUUGUUAUUUCCUCGCAUAAUUUCACAAUCCUUUAAAUUCCUCUAAACCAAAUCAAAACCCCAAAUGCAAUAAUCAGGUACGAUUGAAGUUUGCUUUACCUUACUGGUUUCUUUCUGAUGUUGCAUUUCUACUCGUGCAAUUUAACAUUGCAACGCACAAUGGACAAUCGGAUAGUGUUUCCGCUGAUCACGCUUUCAUGAUUUUCGUUUUCGAAUUUCAUUCUGGAUUGAUUUUGCAUCGUUGUUUUCUUUGAUGUAAAUGACUUCGUUUUCGCUGUGAAUUGUAAUUGGGAUUUCGAAUUAGUCUGUGUUCUAUGUAAUUAUUGUUUGAUCGAGGAAACUAUCGGUUAAUUUUUCGCAAAACGUUAUCCCAGAUGAAGAACACACUUCUUCAGUAUAAGUUGUAGUUACGUUGAUAAUCAGAUGGAUCUCAUUCUUAAAGUAUUUUCGUUAUUCAGUUCGAUUUGGAAUUACAAGACUUGUUAUUCUUCAGUCUAUCUAUUUAUUUUUGAAUCUGCAGUGAAAGGGGGAAGGGUCCUGGAAAUAUGACCUCACUUUAAUGUUUGAAACAAAUGUUGAACAUUUUGAAUCACUAAUAUGUAAUGUCUUAUGAAAUCAUUUUUUUUAACGCAAUUUAUGUAAUUCGAGUAAACUCCCAAGCAUAUUCAAAUUUUUGCUCCUUUUUUUUUUUUUGUGUGUGUGUGUGUGUGUGUCCUGAAACAAUUUGACUAAGGUGCUGGUAGUGUUUCAAAUUUUAUAAUAGUUGUGUAGGUGUUAAAUCAAAGAUGGUGAAGUUGACAAUGAUUGCCCGUGUUACUGACGGCCUUCCUCUUGCUGAGGGACUAGAUGAUGGUCGUGAUUUGAGAGAUGCUGAGUAUUACAAGCAGCAAGCCAAAGCGUUGUUUAAGAACUUAUCAAGAGGACAGAAUGAGCCUUCCAGGAUGUCCAUUGAAACCGGCUCUUAUGUCUUUCAUUAUAUAAUUGAAGGGCGUGUUUGUUAUCUGACAAUGUGUGACCGUGCGUACCCAAAAAAACUUGCUUUCCAGUACCUUGAAGACCUUAAGAAUGAAUUCGAGCAUGUUAAUGGGGCUCACAUUGAAACUGCUGCUAGGCCAUAUGCAUUUAUCAAGUUUGAUACAUUCAUACAGAAAAUGAAGAAGCUGUACCAGGAUACCCGUACCCAGAGGAAUAUUGCAAAAUUAAAUGAUGAACUCUAUGAAGUGCACCAAAUAAUGACUCGAAAUGUUCAGGAAGUUCUUGGUGUUGGUGAAAAGUUGGAUCAUUUAAGUGAAGAGUCCUGCUUCCUUAUUUUGUUCAGUUUCUGAUGAAUAUAAUUCCGUUAAGCACAUGAAGUUUUAUUUCUUUGUGCCUGGAGUUCUACUAUAGUGAGAAACAAUAUGCUUUGGUAUUCUCUUAUAAUUACAAAUUCUGCAGAGGUUAGUGAAAUGUCCAGUCGAUUAACAUCAGAAUCUCGCAUUUAUGCUGACAAGGCAAAAGAUUUGAAUCGACAGGCUUUGAUUCAGAAGUGGGCUCCUGUAGCUAUCGUGCUUGGAGUCGUUAUUCUCUUAUUCUGGGUGAAAUC